rnacentral:rRNA from 1 species
UACGAGAGGCCCAAACGUUAUUCGGAAUUACUGGGCUUAAAGAGUUCGUAGGCGGCAUUGCAAGUAGGGUGUGAAAGCCCUCGGCUCAACCGAGGAAUUGCGCUCUAAACUGCAGUGCUUGAGGAACCUAGAGGUGAGCAGAACAGAUGGUGGAGCGGUGAAAUGCGUUGAUAUCAUCUGGAAUACCGGGGGCGAAGGCGGCUCACUGGGAGUUUUCUGACGCUGAGGAACGAAAGCCAGGGUAGCGAACGGG